rnacentral:rRNA from 1 species
ACGAACGCUGGCGGCGUGCUUAACCCCUGCAAGUCGAACGGUGAAGGGAUCAGCUUGCUGGUUCUGGAUGAGUGGCGAACGGGUGAGUAACACGUGAGUAACCUGCCCCCUUCUUCUGGAUAACCGCAUGAAAGUGUGGCUAAUACGGGAUAUUCUGCGCCUGCUGCAUGGUGGGUGUGGGAAAGAUAUUGUUUCGGUGGGGGAUGGGCUCGCGGCCUAUCAGCUUGUUGGUGGGGUGAUGGCCUACCAAGGCGGUGACGGGUAGCCGGCCUGAGAGGGUGGACGGUCACACUGGGACUGAGACACGGCCCAGACUCCUACGGGAGGCAGCAGUGGGGAAUAUUGCACAAUGGGCGCAAGCCUGAUGCAGCGACGCCGCGUGAGGGAUGGAGGCCUUCGGGUUGUGAACCUCUUUCGCCAGUGAAGCAGGCCUGUCCCUUGUGGGUGGGUUGACGGUAGCUGGAUAAGAAGCGCCGGCUAACUACGUG